CCGCCUCUUCCGGCCACGACCCCGCACGAGCCCGCCCCUCCCGUGGCUGACGGAAACCGCAGCGUUUCAGGACAAUACGAGCCUCUGAAUUUAAGGUGUUUCUGUUACCUCUUUGGGAUCUUCUAGUGUGGCAAUUCAAGUUUCAUGAGAAAGGAAGAUGCUAGCCAGUAUUUAAGCCAUUUAUUCUUUAAGAACAAGACUAGAAACUGCUUUACUCAGUUGUCAAUUUUCACCAGAGGAAGAAUUCUGUCUUGAACAGUCUGCAUCUCUAUCUUCAUUUGCUCUUCAUGAUCUCUCCAUCAAUACCGGCCAAGUACAAAGUUCACAAGUGGCAAAUACUAAAGCACCACCACACUGAGUAGAAACAUGUACACCACAUUCUACUAUGCGUAUUAAUAAAUACUCUUUAUUUUAAAUUUUGCACAUUGCCUUUAACAUUGCGUCCAGACACUUUGCAAGUGGAUGUCUACUGUAAACCAUAUAUCCAGCUCACUGUCAUUUCUGUACAGAGGUGUAAGUACAACAUUACUUUUGCCACUAAGUUGCUUUAGUAAGUCUCACAGGAAGAGAAACGUUUAAUGAAGAGAUGGCUUAAAUCAUAAGCAGGCCUGCGCAGCCACGCAACUAAAGACACAAGCCUGAAGAAAGAACAAAUGAAUGAGAUUACCU